GUGCUUGCUUCGGCAGCACAUAUACUAAAAUUGGAACAAUACAGAGAAGAUUCUAGUAAAAGCAAUUUUAAGUUUAUUAAAAGCAAGAAAAAAAUUAACUUUUU